AAUGAACGUUGGCGGCGUGGAUUAGGCAUGCAAGUCGAGCGCGAAACGUAGCAAUACGUGAAAAGCGGCGAAAGGGAGAGUAAUACAUAGGUACGUACCCUUGGACCUGGGAUAGCGGCGGGAAACUGCCGGUAAUACCAGAUAAUGUCUCCGGACCAAAGGUGUGAUUCCGUCUGAGGAGCGGCCUAUGUCCUAUUAGCUAGUUGGUAAGGUAACGGCUUACCAAGGCAAAGAUGGGUAUGGGGUGUGAGAGCAUGCCCCCACUCACUGGGACUGAGACACUGCCCAGACACCUACGGGUGGCUGCAGUCGAGAAUCUUCGGCAAUGGACGCAAGUCUGACCGAGCGACGCCGCGUGCGGGAUGAAGGCCUUCGGGUUGUAAACCGCUGUCGUAGGGGAGGAAAUGCAGGUGGGUACUCCCAUCCGCUUGACUGAUCCUAGGAGGAAGGACCGGCUAAUCUCGUGCCAGCAGCCGCCGUAAAAC
rnacentral:rRNA from 1 species